UAGACACUCACUCUCACUGAUCACUGACUUUAUUAAUGUUUAUUUGGGUUUAGUAUUCUAAUGUUAUAUAGAGUUAAUUACAGGUAGACACUCUCACUGAUCACUGACUUUAUUAAUGUUUAUUUGGGUUUAGUAUUCUAAUGUUAUAUAGAGUUAAUUACAGGUAGACACUCUCACUGAUCACUGACUUUAUUAAUGUUUAUUUGGGUUUAG